GAUGAACGCUGGCGGCGUGCCUAAUACAUGCAAGUCGAGCGAACAGACGAGGAGCUUGCUCCUCUGACGUUAGCGGCGGGCGGGUGAGUAACACGUGGAUAACCUACCUAUAAGACUGGGAUAACUUCGGGAAACCGGAGCUAAUGCCGGAUAAUAUAUUGAACCGCAUGGUUCAAUAGUGAAAGACGGUUUUGCUGUCACUUAUAGAUGGAUCCGCGCCGCAUUAGCUAGUUGGUAAGGUAACGGCUUACCAAGGCGACGAUGCGUAGCCGACCUGAGAGGGUGAUCGGCCACACUGGAACUGAGACACGGUCCAGACUCCUACGGGAGGCAGCAGUAGGGAAUCUUCCGCAAUGGGCGAAAGCCUGACGGAGCAACGCCGCGUGAGUGAUGAAGGUCUUCGGAUCGUAAAACUCUGUUAUUAGGGAAGAACAAAUGUGUAAGUAACUAUGCACGUCUUGACGGUACCUAAUCAGAAAGCCACGGCUAACUACGU
rnacentral:rRNA from 1 species